UACGAAGGGGGCUAGCGUUGCUCGGAAUCACUGGGCGUAAAGCGCACGUAGGCGGACUCUUAAGUCGGGGGUGAAAUCCUGGAGCUCAACUCCAGAACUGCCUUCGAUACUGGGAGUCUUGAGUUCGGGAGAGGUGAGUGGAACUGCGAGUGUAGAGGUGAAAUUCGUAGAUAUUCGCAAGAACACCAGUGGCGAAGGCGGCUCACUGGCCCAUUACUGACGCUGAGGCACGAAAGCGUGGGGAGCAAACAGG
rnacentral:rRNA from 1 species